rnacentral:rRNA from 1 species
AGAGCGAACGCUGGCGGCAGGCUUAACACAUGCAAGUCGAACGGAUCCUUCGGGAUUAGUGGCGGACGGGUGAGUAACACGUGGGAACGUGCCUUUUGGUUCGGAACAACUCAGGGAAACUUGAGCUAAUACCGGAUGUGCCCUUCGGGGGAAAGAUUUAUCGCCAUUAGAGCGGCCCGCGUCUGAUUAGCUAGUUGGUGAGGUAAAGGCCCACCAAGGCUACGAUCAGUAGCUGGUCUGAGAGGAUGACCAGCCACAUUGGGACUGAGACACGGCCCAAACUCCUACGGGAGGCAGCAGUGGGGAAUCUUGCGCAAUGGGCGAAAGCCUGAUGCAGCGACGCCGCGUGAGGGAUGACUGCCUUCGGGUUGUAAACCUCUUUCAGCAGGGACGAAGCGAAAGUGACGGUACCUGCAGAAGAGCACCGGCCAACUACGCGCCAGCAGCCGC